UUACUUAUCCUAUAAUAUCAUAACAUGCUAUAUUGCUUCAUGGCACACGUUAAAUUAUAUAUUCAUAUCUCGAAAAUCGCUCUGUUUUGUGGUGAAUCUUAUUCUUUUAGUCAGUCAACAUCUGCAGUUUCAAAUGUUAAAUUUAUGCAAAAAGCAUUGUUCUGACUGAGGGUCAUGUACUAUUUACUAGUAUUUUUACUUGCAUGUUUAGUUGUAUUAUGUUAGUGCUUUAUGUUCCACAUUUGUCACUAUCUCUUGUGGUCAUAACAACAUCCCAUCCCCUUUGUAUUUAUACAACUUUUUUUUUAAGCAUGAAGUCUUUUAUGCAAGGUCCAUAAUCUCGGUACAAGUGCCAUACUGGUACGUUACCAGUUCAGUACGGUCGGUAUGCACCCAUGCUGAGAUAGUUCCCAACCCCUUUUCUUACUUUUUAUCAUGGUAACAUCUGAAAGUAGACAAUACGGGUUGGUAUGGUAUGGUAUGGUUUGCAUCCUGGUACAAGGCGGUACCGCUCAUACAUUGUGCAAUUAUAUGCAUGAUGUCAUAUCUAAUUGUGCAACUUGAUGCAUCCUUUCUUGUGUAAAAUGGGAUAUUUUUUCUAGGAUUUUCUUCUUAGUGCUUGACUUCUUUUAUGUGGCUCUCGAUAUAACCAUGAUAUACGAUUUUGUCUUACAUGUUUUUGUGUAGAAUUUAAACAGGAUAUGCUAGCUUGUUGUUUAUGAAAAACAUUCUCUUAGGCAGUCAUCAAAGCGAGGCAUUGCUAAUAUCUUGUAGGAUCUGUACAUAAGGUUUCUUGGUGUUUGAAGUUUGAAAAUGCCUUAAAACUCUGAGCAUAGUCAAUGCCCAUGCUAUCUGGUCUUCACACUAUAGUAAUAAGCCCCCUUUUGCUGAAAGUUGCCUUAUAUAGGAAAUAAGACACCAAGAUACAAAGGGUUGAUGUCUGGUUCCGAGCUACCAGAAUGUUUCUUGAGUGUUCAUGGAUCAUAUUUUGGUUCGUAAUCUUAUGCACAUAUGCAUGGUAUAAGGCUCAUGAGUUGUAAUUUAGGUUAACAUGCAUAGUGCACUCACUUUGCAUUCAAUUUUUAAUCCAACUAUUAGGUGGAUGUGGAAUCCUGUUAGCUGUUGGUGUCCUAUUCAAUUUUUGGAGAGCGGCCUUGUCAUUAUUCUCAAUUAUUUUAAUUUUUUUUAUUUUCUGUAAUUAUUUAUGAUUUUCAAAAAGGAAAAUAUAGUAGGUUGGAUUGACACCUUGAACUUGCUAGGGGUUCUAGUGGCUCCUUUGUCUUAACUGUAGAUUUACUGUUUCUUGCAGUAUAGUACUUUGUAAUUGUUUUCACCUCCUCAUACUUUUGGUUUUGUGAGAUCAUAGGAUGGAUCAGUAUCUCAAGCCGCAAGUCGGAUUUUUUCUUUUUUCUAUUAAACUGGGGAGGCCAGAGCCACCCAACCCCACCUCAAGCCUUAACCUUGGCAGCUUGGCUCUUGUGCUUGCAUAGCCUAAUCUACUAUAACCAGGACCCUUUUUUUGGGGGCCGAAAAUUAAGGGACUACACCUCUCAAAAGUGAAACCCUGACUCGCCUGGGAGGUCAUAGGGUGUAUGAUUGAGGUACGUACUCAGGUACAAGCCACAAGUAGGUUUAAUGAUCCACAUUACUGUUCUUAGUUAUCAGCUCUCUCUCCUCACAAGUCACAACCAUAACUGACGCCUCCAUAACUUGAUGGGACAUACUUGCUAGAAUGUUGCUUGGAUCUUAAAACAUGCCAGCUUGCCAAUAUGGAAGGUGAGAAGUUUUCCAGGCUCCUACCAUGUCAUAAGUUUUUUCAUUUCCACCUAUUCAAGUGUAGUAGACCCUUCUUCUCUAGUUUCUAUGGUGUUGUUGAAGACUGUAAAUUGGGUGCUAUAAUUUAGUGUUUUGGUGGUUGUUUUUGGGUGCUGGUUUCUAAAAAUUCUGAAUUUCUUUUUGCUCAGAGUGGUGUUUGAUGUGUUCAACUGUUCAGAUGAUGAACUAGAUAUUAUUUUGGAGUUAUUUUCCUCCCCAGGUCCAUUGAGGAUUUUUUGGUGGAAUAACUUUUCUACUGAGUUAAAUUUUAGGUAUACUUUUUAAGAUGCUGGGGCACUAGUCUAAUUGACCAAAAUACAGUACCCUGUCCCAUUAAGCUAUGAUGAUCUAGCAAGUUUAACAAAUAAAACCUUUUAACUUGUUAAUGUCCUCACUCACUUUAGUGGUGAUUUCCAGAUCAGGACCAGUCAUUUGGGAGCACCUGUUAAGAUCUUUCUUAAGGUCCAAUUACUAGUUGAAGUCUAGUAUAAUUUAACAUUUAGCUUUUGGGUCACUGGAAGUCCUCUCCAUGUAGUGUGAUGAACAUGUGUUGAUUUUUCUUUUUCUAAAAAUAGAUGGAUUGCUGUAGUUUAUAAUCAUACUGAAACUGGUUACAUGUAAACUCAUCUUUCUUUUGUGUAUUUUGAAUUUUCAACUUUCAUUAGCUGACCGAAUAGAAUUAAGGCCUGAGAGUUUUCUUGAGGUUGUUGAUGUGGCCAUUUCUCUUCUUUGUACCUGCUAUUAGGGCCGAGGGUUAAAUCCUAACCCUAACCCUAGCAGGGGGAGGGGGGGGAGAGAGAGAGAGAGAGAGAGAGAGAGAUAGAGAGAGAGAGAGAGAGAGAGAGAUGGUUAAGAAACGAAUCGGGCUUCUCCCAAACGAUCGCAAGCCGCCCCGAGGGGGGUGGGGUGGGGCUUUAUAAUUGAACCAAUGGGGGGUUUGGCUAAUUUUUCGAGCCGAUAGGGUGAAUUGUCCUAGUUCCCUGUUGGUUCGUUUGAUACGUCCUGAAUCGGACGGUUCAGGGCAGUACGACCAACCAUGCUAUUAUCUCUUUUGGAGAUGCAUAAAGUAAAUUAUCAAGACAAGUAGAGUUACUUGAGUGAGUAGAAGUUUUCCAUGCUUUCCUAAUGGUCUAGGACUCUGGACAUGUAUGAGUUUAUGGGGUUCGAUUAGAUUCUUAACAAAUAUUUUUAGUUUAUUAGAUCUUAUUCAAUAUUUUAAAUGAUUAUAGGUCAUAGCUAGGUAGCCAAGGGCCCACAUGGCUCCUAAGCACUAAGUUGGUUUUUAGAGGUUAAGUUGGAUCGAAAGUGGUAAAUCCAAAAGCUAAUGAAUGUAAGAUGUCUAGAAAGAUAGCUAAUAAAAAAUAAUGAUCUAUAACAUAUGGAAUCAGCAGUAGUAAAUCAGUGAGUUACCAACCUGGCAAUACUCAGUACCAAUUCACACCAAACUUACAUUGAGGAAGCUGCCUGCAUUUUCUAGCUUAGGUGGAAAUGUUGGAUCUAUUCAAGUUUGUUGAAAUUGGUUCCAAUACUCGGUACCAAUUACCAACCUGGCAAUACUCGGUACCAAUUCACACCAAACUUACACUGAGGAAGCUGCCUGCAUUUUCUAGCUUAGGUGGAAAUGUUGGAUCUAUUCAAGUUUGUUGAAAUUGGUUCCAAUUUCUUAAGCUUUAUACCCAACUUAAGUGGAGUUCAGGUCUUGGCACGUGAAACAUACUAAACCCAUGGGUCUAAAUUUGAGGUAAGAACUGAGUCAAGUUAGAACAAGUUAGAGGCAUGGUCUUAAGGAGAUAAUUUUGAAAAGCCAGUGUUUUAAAAAAAAUAGGUCAAGUGCCUAAUUUAUGCAGGUCACACCCCCUAGCACCUUGCCAGGUUGAAUCAGCUUGCUGUGGGGUGGGUGUAAGGCGGCCGUCCAUGCGUAGUUCUAUGUUCUAGUAAGCAUCUGGGUGCAAUAAGGUGCGGAUGUGGGUCUACAACGUUUUGGGCACCCAACCACAAAGCCCAAGCUGAUCCAAUAAUCUACGCAUCUCUUUUAACUUCACCAAUUACCUCUCACUCUUCCAAUGUCUUUUACUAUCCUCCCUUAUCUUCCCCAUAAACCCUAAGUAAACCCUAGUGGUGGUUCGGUGGGUUGUGGGUGAUGGUCACUGAUCGAAGAUGGGCAAGCACCGGUUGGUUGGCAUCUUUUCGCCAAUUGGCAUCGAAUUGAGGUGGGGAAGGUGGAGUCAUGGAGGCGCCACUAGGGUUGCUUCUAGCAACAAUACCUGCUUUGAGUGGUGGCAACUUCAGCAGUUGCUGCUAUUAGUGGUGCCACCUCUAGCUGCUACUACCGCCGGUGCUGUAUUCUUUACUUUGGGUACUCACCUAAAAACCCACCUAGUGCCUAUGAGCUGAGCAACCCCUUGGCCGCUUGCUUCUCACCUUCCGUCAUCUAAAACCUUGUAAAUCUGGGGGAGAGCGAUCCAAUUGACUCAUAUGACCUCUGUAUAUAAUUGUCGAACGUUCAAGUUGUCUGUGUUUAACAAGUGAAUAAUUUAAAAUGUCAUCUCAUUAGGUUGUGCAUCCAUGUCAAGCUUGUGUAGCCUAUUGAGUAACUGAAGCGUCUUUCUAGAUCUCACUUUUUGUACAUCCACAUAACGAGAGAUCACGACAUUCCAAUCAAUAAAGAUCCCUCCUUUUUGUAUAUUCAAAGAGUUCCCCAGGAAAAUCAACUUGCCUUUGCAUAUGAUUGGAAAUCAUCACAAUCCAAAAUACCUUGCUUCUUAUUGGCAUUUUGUUAAAAAAAUCUACCUCAUCAGUUCCAUAUCUCCUUAAUUAGUGCACCCACUUAGCAUCCCAUUUCGAGAGGUAUUCUUUCUUGCAUGCAUUGGAAUAUGGCAGUAGUGUGGCCUAUGUCCUUGGCGUUGGUAUAUCUUGAGACCAAAUUCCAGGAUGCCAUGUUGCUCCCUAGAAUCUUGUUGAAGAUCCUCUAGGUGGCUUCUAACUCUUCUGUUCUAAGUUGCUAUUUCUACACUGGAGUAGUGGUCAAUUAAAUUAUUUGGUGUCAGACCUGGCACUGGAGGCUAUGCUUGUGGAGCUGGGCAUGGAUCACUCUAGCGAGGGUUUGGAGGGGGAGCCAAGUGCGAGUCUUGACGGUGGUAGAGAUGGUGAAGGGUUCAAUGUGAUGACCAGACCUCUCCAUAUAAGCAUGGUGGGAAUGAGAGAAAAAAAUGGCUUAGUUGGCAGAGGGCUAGGGUGCAUGGGUUUAUGAGAUGUCAUUGAGUCUUCUUCGGUGUUUCUAUAGUGGGUGCGGAGUGUGGAGAAGAAAGUGCAGACCAUUCUCUUAGCUGCUGGGAGACAAGCACAUGACUGCUGAUAGGAUGGAGUAGCUGAUUGUAAGUAAAUUAAAAAGAUCAAUAUCUCAGGGGACAUUUAGAGUCCAUAUAGAUUUAUUCUGGGCAUAAUAAGAGAAACUUUAUGUGUGAAUUUGGAUAUAGGGUAAUU